rnacentral:rRNA from 1 species
AUUGAACGCUGGCGGCAGGCCUAACACAUGCAAGUCGAACGGGUGGCGGACGGGAGAGUAAUGCUUGGGAAUCUAGCUUAUGGAGAGGGAUAACUAAGGGAAACUGUAGCUAAUACCGCCUACAUUAGGAUGAGCCCAAGUGGGAUUAGGUAGGUGGUGAGGUAAAGGCCCACCAAGACGACGAUCUCUAGCUGGUCUGAGAGGAUUACCAGCCACACUGGGACUGAGAAACGGCCCAGACUCCUACGGGAGGCAGCAGUGGGGAAUAUUGCGCAAUGGGGGCAACCUGAUGCAGCCAUGCCGCGUGAAUGAAGAAGGCCUUCGGGUUGUAAAGUUCUUUAGGUAGCGAGGCGUUAACUACAGAAGAAGCACCGGCUAACUCCGUGCCAGCAGCCGCGGUAAUUC